rnacentral:lncRNA from 1 species
UACCAGAUUACCAUUCAAAGGCGGUGCAAGUCUAUCAAUGGAGAAUCCCUCUGGGACAGUGAACAAACAAUGCGGAAGAGUUUCAAGAGACAAGUAUGCUCUAUGCUUAACAAAGAAAAAUUCACUCAGCAUCAUGAAGCAGAAAGUUCUCCCAAUUCUUGCCAGCAGAGCAGGAGCUACCUUGCAGGAGACAAAGAAGGGCCUGAACUGUGUGAUGGUCCUGCAGAAAGGUAUGGUUACAGUGGAAAUGGAGCCUUCUGUGCUGGUCUGCAGGAGGGCUGCUCUGCGGUAGCCCACGUUGGUGUUUUUUUCUUGUGGCUAUAGAGAUGCUAAUUCAGUUGUGUUUUAACGCAGAAUUUUUGUAGUAAUAUCAGCUUUACUAUCUUUCAACUAGAUUUUUUGCAAGUGUGAAUAUUACAUUAAUACUUGGAUUCAUAUUACAAUUUAAAGCAAAUUCAACUUUCAAACAUUUCACUGGACAAGUCUAGUUCCAAAUUGCAUUUUAAUUGAGGUAAAAGUAAAGUAAUAAUGGGUA